rnacentral:ncRNA from 1 species
AUGAAUUUUGGUAUAAAAUUAAUUAUUUUAAUAAUGAUUUAUAUUUUUGGUAGUAAUUAAUAUUAAAUAUUUAAGAAAUUAAGAUUUAGUAAUAUUUUUAUUCAAUAACAAAUUUUGUGCCAGCAGUUGCGGUUAAACAAAAGUUGAUUUAAAUUUUAUUAGUAAUUAAUAAAUAAUUUAAAUUUAUAAUUUAAAUUUUAAAUUAUUAGGUGAAAUUUUAAUUUAUAAAAAAGUUAUUUUAAUAUUAUGAUUUAAUAAAUUUUAUUAAAAACUAGGAUUAGAUACCCUAUUAUGAAAAUUUUAAAUUUUAAUACUAAAAUAGUAAAUAAUUAUUUAUUGAAACUUAAGUAAUUUGGCGGUAUUUUAGUUCAUUUAGAGGAAUCUGUUUAAUAAUUGAUAGUCCACGAAUAAAUUUACUUAAUUUAUAAUUUUGUAUAUCGUUGUUAAAAAAAUAUUUUUAAAAAAUUAAUAAUAUUUAAAAAUUUAUAUAAUAAAUUAAAUCAGAUCAAGAUGCAGAUUAUAAUUAAGAAUAUAAUGGAUUACAAUAAAUUUAUUUAUAUGAAUAUUAAUUUGUAAAAAUUAAUUGAAAGUGGAUUUAAAUGUAAUUUUAUUUAAUUUAAUAAAAUGAUUAAAAAUUAAAAUAUGUACAUAUUGCCCGUCGCUUUCAUAUAAAAAGAAAUUGAAAUAAGUCGUAACAAAGUAGAGAUACUGGAAAGUGUUUCUAGAAAGAC